ensembl:lncRNA
UGUAUAGGUAUGUGUUCUGUUUUGUGUGUGUGUGUGUGUGUUCAUACAGGUGGUACUGAUCAUCCAUGAUCUCCGUUCAUCUUGGCUCCACCCACUCUCGUUACCCGGUUCAGCUGUUUCCACUCAUCUCCAAUCCCAUCAUGCCCUUCUGGGGAUGAGGAGUAGUUUAGCCCUGCUCCGGAGUUUACAUACCUGCACGUAGGGUUACUCUCCUGUCUAACAACACUAGCUACACCUGGCUGGGCCACCUACUG